UUGUUGAUUUGAUCUAACUAACAGAAAAAAGGGGAUCCUAUCGGAGCAGCCAUGGUACUGCAAAAUUGGUAAGGAUCGUUGCUAUUACUGCUACUUCGGGAGGAGUCAUAUGUUCUCAGUUUAUUUAGUAGUGCAAAAAUUGAUAAGUUACUUGAGCUAUUAUUAUAUUGUCGCAAUUGGAUUACGUUUAUCGUUUUGUUCCAUUUGAAUUUCAUAUUUGCCCUUGACCAGGAACUAUCGAGGCAUUAUUUUGUUAGUAGAACUACUAAUAAAGAACCAUUUUACUUAAUAGAAAAUAUUUUGUUGCCAUUGGAACUUGACCGAGUUGGAAACCAGUUUUAACAAAUUAGUAAUAUGCUUUCUAUCUUACUGCGGUGAGUUGUUAUAUCGUUGGACAUUAACAAUUUUGAAAUUUAGAUUUUAAAGACGGUGAAACUGACGAACACACGCUUCUGCUCAAGUAUAAGUAUCUGUUAGUUCUCUGUCAUUGUUGUUUUAGAACUUUUUCUACUUUAUGUGUGAUAUUUUAAAACUGAUUCAGCCUAUACUUCAAAAUUUUAUGUACUUUGGUCUCAAUAUUGCAUCUUACAAAUUUCUACUGUAGUUUAGAGCAAUGCUUGUAGAAUUUAUAGAUUUUUUUCUACAAUAUAGUCAUUCAUGUAAAUAAAUAAUUUGGAAUGUGGUGAUUUCUCCUGCAGUAUCAUCAUUCAUGUAAAUGCUUUGUACUUCUUGCUUUGGUGAUUCCUCCCUGUUCCUUCAAAAAGAGAACAAAAAGCGGAAUGACAUGAGAGAUUUUGAAAGUCUCUUUAUAUGGCAAAAUUCUAAGCUCUACUACAGCUUGGAUGGAUACCUCCAUUCGAGAAUAGAUCAUAGUGUAAGUAUGUUACUUUCAAGUCCAUUUUUUACCGUUAAUACAAAAUUUCUUGCCUGCAAUAGAAACCACUGUGAGGAUAUCUAUACGUAGUUUCAAAUCCGUGUCACAGAUAAAUUUAACAUUGCUUGUAAUUCGAUCCGUGAGAUAUUGGGUUGUUGCUAACCUACCCAAAUCCAAGUUAUUGUGUACAUUAUAGACAAAUAAAAGGUAACUGAUUAUUCCACUAUUCAAUAAUCUAUAUCCAAGUUAUUAGGAUUUGUUGCUAACCUACCCAAAUCCUAAUAAUCUAUAUCCUCCUGAAAGAAAAGAGUAAGAAAUAAAGACACAAGAAAAUGCAUAUAGCUAAAUUCUUUAUAUCUUGCCAAGAUAUUAGUUUAUGGUGUCUUAAAACUCAGUAUCUAAACAAUAUCAUACAAAGCAAAAUACAAAUAAAUAGGUACAAAUGCACAUACACAGUAAACAACAGAACAUCAACAAAGAGUAGAAAAUUAAUCUCAUAAACUGGAAAUGAAAGACAAAAGACAAUACCAUGUUAUUGACCUAAAAAGUAUUACUUGUAAUUGGCUUAGAGCUUUUAGGCAAUGUUGCUUCAAUACUUGACAUGCAUAUCAAAUGAUCUUUGAAAUUAUGCAACAUAUCUCCAUUUGGUGGACAUCCAAGUUGACAAAGUGAAUAUGAAUCUACACUUCAAAAAGUUAUUUCUCACUCUUUGAUGAACAUAGGAAAAUUAGUACACCACAAAAUGCCAUAAAUUCAUAAAUCUGUGUCAAAUUGCAAUAGAAAAAGCAACCUAAUAGAUGAUUACAACAACCUGAGAUAUUGUUAAACUCAAAUAUCUUCCAAAAUGUACUAGACUAUACUAGAGCUUCUGGAAUAUGCUUCUUUUAAGUUUUUUCCUUAACAUGUAAGAUACUUCAUUUGCAAUCUAAACAUUAGUAGAACAUGUUAACCAAAUAGAGAAUCCUCACAGUCAUAGGUCUCCUUAGCAAAUAAUCCUAAUGUCUCAUUUUGGCCUUUAGUUUUGUUAUACCUGAUGAAAUAUUUACUGAAAUAUACAGGUCGGGUUCUUUGUUCUCUCUUAUUUAUGAUUGUCGAGUCAUCAUUAUGCAUUGUUUUAUUAACUUGCUCUAUCUUAGGAUAAUUUUCAGUUAUUACUUCAGGCUUCUUUAUUAUGUUUAUGAAUCUUUCUUUGUUUUUGUGUUUGUUCUUGAUAAAUUAAGUUUAUUGGGAUUUCUGGAGAGAAUUACACUCUUAUUAUGCUCAUGAUAGCUCUUUUGUUAUUAUGUUCCUUAAUUGUCUUGCUGGAAGUUUGCCACGAUAACAAUCCUUUGAGUUUUAUACCCUGACCGCCUGAUGCCAUCUCAAUUAUUUUUGAAAGAGAAUUAACCUAUAUUAAGAAGUCUAGAACAUGUGGUUUGAAUCAAAGGCACAUAAGAAAAGUCACAUUACCAAUACAAGAGUUAUCUUAUUAGUUGAGUUAUUGAUACCUUUAUUUAUUAAGAAUAUAGAUAUUUUUGAUGAAUGGAAAGCUUUUAGAAGAAAAGCAACUCUUCAGUCAAGAUUAUUACCAAAAGAACAAGGAGGAGUGCAUCCACAAAUUCAUGAUACAAGAUCGUUGUGGAAGUUCACAACUUUGCUGUUCUGUAUGUCUGUAAUGACAUGGAUGAACAUGAUUAUCCCUUUGUGUGCGAGUCUCUGCAACUCACAAGAAAAUUAUGAUCAAUCCUUGAUCUAUAUGCAAGAACUACUUUAGUCAAUUUUGUUAAUUAAACCUUUCACGAAAGAUAAUUCAAUUUCUUACUUGCUGAUUUUUCCUUCUGGUUCAUUUGGAUUUUUAAGUGUCGAAUGAAAACAUAUCUCUAUUUGAUAGAGGCAAUCAAGAUGUGGGACUAUACUGGAUAUGUUAUUGUUGACAGAGGUGAUCAAGUUGAAAAGUGAACAUAUUGGUAGAGCUUUUUUCUAAAAAUAAUAGAU
rnacentral:lncRNA from 1 species